GAGUAUAUAGUUCAGUGGUAGAGCACUUUCCUAGAAUGUGUAAGGACCUGGGUUCAAUCCCUAGUACCUUCA
rfam:Ictidomys tridecemlineatus contig081494, whole genome shotgun sequence.